rnacentral:sRNA from 1 species
ACUCAACACGAACUCAUUAAAAAGGAUGAGUCUUUGUUGUUAGAUUGUGCCGUCUUUGUUACGGAUCUUCGAGCAACAAGUUAGUCCUAAACUUGUUUAAUGGAGUUU